AUUUCUAUUUUUUGUUGAUCAAGGGCACUAAACUAAUACCCAAUCUUUUUCGGCAUAAUACCCACAUGAUUCUAGAAGUAGUUCUCUGAUGAUAGACACAACAAGAAAACAUCAGUUGUUUCAUUUGCUCUCACAAAUUUAUACUCUUCACACUUUCAAGGACUAAUAUUUGACUUCACAUCAUCAUCUCAAUGGAAUCUUUCAAUUUCAGGUAUGAUUUCUCUCAAUUUUUGCCCCAGUUUCUUCCAAUUUCUCUUCAGACUUCCGAAUCUCAUUGCUGGAGUUCCUGGCUGAUGUCUUUAUUAGAGAAAAGGGUAGAGUUUCAAAAGGUUUUCUAAGCGUAAAAUUUCGUUGGAGCCGGGGUAGAUAACGAUGAACAAACAGAUUAUAGAAGUAAUUUUAUUUGCUUUUGACUUCUCUUUGAAUUUCGAAAAAUGUCUCUUCAAAUUCUGUUAUACCAAACUGAAUGCUUUAUUUUUUUUCGUUUUUAUUGAUUAUGAAUUAAAAAGGUAACUUUCUAUUGCCAUCUCCCACCAAUUCUUCCA